rnacentral:lncRNA from 1 species
GUGACGCCGGCGGCCAGGGGGUGGGGCGUGAUUAAAACUAGUGCGCGGCCGGCAGCGGAGGGAUUAACGCUGAGCAAAGAGACUGGCGCGCGGCUCGCUGCGCCCUAGCCCGCGGGAGCCCGGGUCCGACGCCGGCGCGGCGCGAGCGACCCGGUUGGAUUCCUUAAUUAUAAAACGAGUCUUCAGUCCAAACCUGGGAUGUAAAAGCUCCCUGCUACGAUCGCUUGUUCUGGUCUCAUCAAAAAGAUAAAAAGAAAAAAGAUGGGAGUUGAAGUGACUAACCAUAUUUUCCAGCAGUACCUUUGUGAGUACGGUUCAUAAUCUCUUAUCUAAUUCCAACAUUCACGAAGCUCUGAAAAACAAAAGCUUUUUAAACUUGGAGACAAAAUUCAUUUGGUAACAAGAUAUGACCUGAACUAAUUAGAAGUUAUUUCGUCUUUAUCCCAUAUGUUUGAUUAUGGGAUGCUGCCCUUGGCCACUGGUCUGUGAGGUGUUACAUGAUGGUCUAUGUACCUGGUAACAUUUUUAAAUUCCAAGAAUUUCUUUAUUCUAAAACACAUCCAGCCCCUGGGUUUUGGUUAAGGAAUGC